GGUGUCUGUGUCUGCGUCUGUCUCUGUGUCUGCGGUGUCUGUGUCUGCGUCUGUUUCUGUGUCUGCGUCUGCAUCUGCGUUUGUGUCUGCGUCUGCGUCUGCGUCUGCGUCUGUGUCUGUGUCUGUGUCUGUGUCUGUGUCUGUGUCUGUGUCUGUGUCUGUGUCUGUCUGUGUCUGCGUCUGCGUCUGUGUCUGUGUCUGUGUCUGUGUCUGUGUCUGUGUCUGUCUCUGUGUCUGUGUCUGCGGUGUCUGUGUCUGCGUCUGUGUCUGCGGUGUCUGUGUCUGCGUCUGUGUCUGUGUCUGUGUCUGCGGUGUCUGUGUCUGCGUCUGUCUCUGUCUCUGUGUCUGCGGUGUCUGUGUCUGCGUCUGCGUCUGUGUCUGUGUCUGUGUCUGUGUCUGUGUCUGUGUCUGCCUUUGUGUCUGUGUCUGCGUCUGUGUCUGCCUUUGUGUCUGUGUCUGCGCCUGUGUCUGUGUCUGCAUCUGCGUCUGCGUUUGUGUCUGUGUCUGUGUCUGUGUCUGUGUCUGUGUCUGUGUCUGUGUCUGUGUCUGUGUCUGUGUCUGUGUCUGUGUCUGUCUCUGUGUCUGUGUCUGCGGUGUCUGUGUCUGCGUCUGUGUCUGUGUCUGCGGUGUCUGUGUCUGCGUCUGUGUCUGUGUCUGUGUCUGUGUCUGUGUCUGUGUCUGCGGUGUCUUUGUCUGCGUCUGUCUCUGUCUCUGUGUCUGCGGUGUCUGUGUCUGCGUCUGUGUCUGUGUCUGUGUCUGCUUCUCUGUCUGUGUCUGUCUGUGUUUGCAUCUGCGUCUGCAUUUGUGUCUGUGUGUCUGUCUGUGUCUGUGUCUGUAUCUGCAUCUGCGUCUGCGUUUGUGUCUGUGUUCUGUCUCUGUGUCUGCAGUAUCUGUGUCUGCAGUGUCUGUGUCUGCAUCCGCAUCUGCAUCUGCGUCUGCGUUUGUGUCUGCGUCUGCGUCUGUGUCUCUGUCUGUGUCUGCGCCUGUGUCUGUGUGUCUGUCUGUGUCUGUCUGUGUCUGUGGUGUCUGUCUCUGUGUCUGCAGUGUCUAUGUCUGUGUCUGUGUCUGUGUCUGUGUCUGUGUCUGUGUCUGUGUGUCUGUCUGUGUUUGUCUGUGUCUGUGGUGUCUGCCUCUGUGUCUGUGUCUGCAGUGUCUGCAUCUGCAUCUGCAUCAGUGUCUGCGUUUGUGUCUGCGUCUGGGUCUGCGUCUGUCUGUGUCUGUGUCUGCGUCUGUGUCUGUGUCUGCUUCUCUGUCUGUGUCUGUCUGUGUUUGCAUCUGCGUCUGCAUUUGUGUCUGUGUGUCUGUCUGUGCCUGUGUCUUUGUCUGUGUCUGUGUCUGUCUGUGUCUGCGUCUGCGUCUGCGUUUGCGUCUGUGUCUGUCUGUGUCUUUGUCUUUGUCUGUGUCUGUGUCUGUCUGUAUCUGUGUCUGUGUCUGUGUCUGUGUCUGCGUCUGCGUUUGCGUUUGUGUCUGUGUCUGUGUCUGUGUCUGUGUCUGUGUCUGUCUGUGUCUGUAUGUGUGCGUCUGUGUCUGUGUCUGUGUCUGUGUCUGUGUCUGUGUCUGUGUCUGUGUGUCUGUGUCUGUCUGUGUCUGCGUCUGCGUUUGUGUCUAUGUCUGUGUCUGUGUCUGUGUCUGUGUCUGUCUGUGUCUGUAUGUGUCUGCGUCUGUGUCUGUGUCUGUGUCUGUGUCUGUGUCUGUGUCUGUGUGUGUGUGUCUGUGUCUGUCUGUGUCUGCGUCUGCGUUUGUGUCUAUGUCUGUGUCUGUGUCUGUGUCUGUGUCUGUGUCUGUGUCUGUGUCUGUGUCUGUCUGCGUCUGCGUCUGCGCCUGCGUCUGCGUCUGCGUCUACGUCUGUGUCUGCGUCUGCGUUUGUGUCUGCGUCUGUGUCUGUGUCUGCAUCUGCAUCAGCGUCUGCGUUUGUGUCUGCGUCUGUCUGUGUCUGUGUCUGUGUCUGUGUCUGUGUCUGUGUCUGUGUCUGUGUCUGUGUCUGUGUCGGUGUCUGCGUCUGUGUCUGUGUCUGUGUCUGCGUUUGUGUUUGUGUCUGUGUCUGUCUGCGUCUGCGUCUGCGUCUGCGUCUGCGUCUGCGCCUGCGCCUGUGUCUGCGUCUGCGUCUACGUCUGUGUCUGUGUCUGCAUCUGCAUCUGCAUCUGCAUCUGCAUCUGCAUCUGCAUCUGCGUUUGUGUCUGUGUCUGUGUCUGCGAUGUCUGCGGUGUCUGCGUCUCUGUCUGUGUUUUUCUGUGUCUGUGUCUGUAUCUGCAUCUGCGUCUGCGUUUGUGUCUGUGUUUGUGUCUGUGUUCUGUCUCUGUGUCUGCAGUGUCUGUGUCUGCAGUGUCUGUGUCUGCAUCCGCAUCUGCAUCUGCGUCUGCGUUUGUGUCUGCGUCUGCGUCUGUGUCUGUGUCUGUGUCUGUGUCUGUGUCUGCGCCUGUGUCUGUGUGUCUGUCUGUGUCUGUCUGUGUCUGUGGUGUCUGUCUCUUUGUCUGCAGUGUCUAUGUCUGUGUCUGUAUCUGUGUCUGUGUCUGUGUCUGUGUCUGUGUGUCUGUCUGUGUUUGUCUGUGUCUGUGGUGUCUGCCUCUGUGUCUGUGUCUGCAGUGUCUGCAUCUGCAUCAGCGUCUGCGUUUGUGUCUGCGUCUGUCUGUGUCUGUGUCUGCGAUGUCUGUGUCUGCGUCUGUGUCUGUGUCUGUCUCUGUCUCUGUGGUGUCUGUGUCUGCGUCUGUGUCUGUGUCUGCUUCUCUGUCUGUGUCUGUCUGUGUUUGCAUCUGCGUCUGCAUUUGUGUCUGUGUGUCUGUCUGUGUCUGUGUCUUUGUCUGUGUCUGUCUGUGUCUGCGUCUGCGUCUGUGUCUGUGUCUGUGUCUGUGUCUGUGUCUGUGUCUGUUUCUGUGUCUGUGUCUGUGUCUAUGUCUGUGUCUGUGUCUGUGUCUGUCUGUGUCUGUGUCUGUGUCUGUGUCUGCGUCUGUGUCUGUGUCUGUGUCUGUGUCUGUCUGUGUCUGUCUGUGUCUGUCUGUGUCUGUGUCUGCGUCUGUGUCUGUGUCUGUGUCUGUGUCUGUGUCUGUGUCUGUGUCUGUGUCUGUGUCUGUGUGUCUGUGUCUGUGUCUGUCUGUGUCUGUCUGUGUCUGUCUGCGUCUGUGUCUCUGUGUCUGCAGUUUCUGUGUCUGCAGUUUCUGUGUCUGCAUCUGCAUCAGCGUCUGCGUUUGUGUCUGCGUUUGUGUCUGCGUCUGCAUCUGUCUGUGUCUGUGUCUGUGUCUGUGUCUAUGUCUGUGUCUGUGUCUGUGUCUGUGUCUGUGUCUGUGUCUGUGUCUGUGUCUGUGUCUGUGUCUGUGUCUGUGUCUGUGUCUGUGUCUGCAUCUGCAUCUGCAUCUGUAUCUGCAUCUGCAUCAGCUUCUGCGUUUGUGUCUGCAUCUGGGUCUGCGUCUGUCUGGGUCUGUGUCUGCGUCUGUGUCUGUGUCUGUGUCUGUGUGUCUGUGUCUGUGUCUGCGUCUGCGUCUGCGUCUGCGUCUGCGUCUGCGUCUGCGUCUGUCUCUAUCUCUGUGUCUGUGUCUGCGGUGUCUGUGUCUGUGUCUGCGGUGUCUGUGUCUGCGUCUGUGUCUGUGUCUGUGUCUGUGUCUGUGUCUGUGUCUGUGUCUGUGUCUGCGGUGUCUGUGUCUGCUUCUCUGUCUGUGUUUGCAUCUGCGUCUGCAUUUGUGUCUGUGUGUCUGUCUGUGUCUGUGUCUGUGUCUGUGUCUGUGUCUGUGUCUGUGUCUGUGUCUGUGUCUGUGUCUUUGUCUGUGUCUGUCUGUGUCUGCGUCUGCGGCUGCGUCUGCGUCUGUGUCUGUGUCUGUGUCUGUGUCUGUCUCUGUCUGUGUCUGUGUCUGUGUCUGUGUUUGUGUCUGUGUCUGUGUCUGCGUCUGUGUCUGUGUCUGCGCCUGUGUCUGCGUUUGCGUUUGUGUCUGUCUGCGCCUGCGUCUACGUCUGCGUCUGCGUCUGCGUUUGUGUCUGCGUCGGUGUCUGUGUCUGCAUCUGCGUCUGCAUCUGCGUUUUCGUCUGUGUCUGUGUCUGUGUCUGCGUCUGCGUCUGCGUCUGUGUCUGUGUCUGUGUGUCUGCAUCUGCCAGUGGGGGGCCGUCAUUCGUAUCAAUGGGAUAAGCUGAGGCUUGCCAUUCACCUUGGCUCGAGCCAGUGUUUAGGGCGAGCAAUAGCCAUAAUCACACCAAUCCUCUCAAAACCUGCCCUCUGCCUGAGCCCAGCUCAGCCAAGGGCACAGAUUACCACAGAAAAAACAACUCAGGGACCAGAGCGGCCGCGUCCAGCGGAUAUGAGAGGCAGCGCCUCUAUUCCCC
rnacentral:lncRNA from 1 species